CGGACGGGUGAGUAAUGCUUGGGAAUCUGGCUUAUGGAGGGGGAUAACUGUGGGAAACUGCAGCUAAUACCGCGUAUUCUCUGAGGAGGAAAGGGUGGGACCUUAGGGCCACCUGCCAUAAGAUGAGCCCAAGUGGGAUUAGGUAGUUGGUGGGGUAAAGGCCUACCAAGCCUGCGAUCUCUAGCUGGUCUGAGAGGAUGACCAGCCACACUGGAACUGAGACACGGUCCAGACUCCUACGGGAGGCAGCAGUGGGGAAUAUUGCGCAAUGGGGGGAACCCUGACGCAGCCAUGCCGCGUGAAUGAAGAAGGCCUUCGGGUUGUAAAGUUCUUUCGGUAAUGAGGAAGGGAUGUUGUUAAAUAGAUAGCAUCAUUGACGUUAAUUACAGAAGAAGCACCGGCUAACUCCGUGCCAGCAGCCGCGGUAAUACGGAGGGUGCGAGCGUUAAUCGGGAUAACUGGGCGUAAAGGGCACGCAGGCGGACUUUUAAGUGAGAUGUGAAAUCCCCGAGCUUAACUUGGGAACUGCAUUUCAGACUGGGAGUCUAGAGUACUUUAGGGAGGGGUAGAAUUCCACGUGUAGCGGUGAAAUGCGUAGAGAUGUGGAGGAAUACCGAAAGCGAAGGCAGCCCCUUGGGAAUGUACUGACGCUCAUGUGCGAAAGCGUGGGGAGCAAACAGGAUUAGAUACCCUGGUAGUCCACGCU
rnacentral:rRNA from 1 species